GCUUACGGCCACACCGCCUGGUUCUCGUUUGAUCUCGGAAGCUAAGAUAGGUUGGGCCUGGUUAGUACUUGGAUGGGAGACCGCCUGGGAAUACCAGGUGCUGUAAGCU
rnacentral:rRNA from 1 species